rnacentral:rRNA from 1 species
GACAACGCUGGCGGCGUGCUUAACACAUGCAAGUCGAACGGUGACGAGGAGCUUGCUCCUCCGAUCAGUGGCGAACGGGUGAGUAACACGUGAGCAACCUGCCCCAGACUCUGGGAUAACAGUUGGAAACAGCUGCUAAUACCGGAUACGAGACGGAGAGGCAUCUCUACCGUCUGGAAAGUUUUUCGGUCUGGGAUGGACUCGCGGCCUAUCAGCUAGUUGGUGAGGUAAUGGCUCACCAAGGCGACGACGGGUAGCCGGCCUGAGAGGGCGACCGGCCACACUGGGACUGAGACACGGCCCAGACUCCUACGGGAGGCAGCAGUGGGGAAUAUUGCACAAUGGGCGAAAGCCUGAUGCAGCGACGCCGCGUGAGGGAUGACGGCCUUCGGGUUGUAAACCUCUUUCAGCAGGGAAGAAGCGCAAGUGACGGUACCUGCAGAAGAAGCACCGGCUAACUACGUG